rnacentral:lncRNA from 1 species
CUAUUGUUGAAAAUACAUAGAUGUACAUGAUUUUAUAGAUUAAUACAGUAGAGUCCUGAAAACUUGGCACUCGAUAACCCGGCAGUCCAGAUAACUCGGCCAUACCCUGGCAGGGUGAAAAAAACCCGCGGGCAGACCCGUUCAAUGUCAUUGCCCGCGUUCGUGUGUCACCCUCUUCCCGCAUUCCUUUUUCUUACAUCACACCAAAGAGCUAGAAUAUAUAUAUAUAGAUAUAUUCUAGCUCGUUGCGUCACACCUUCACUCCUCCACCAUGUGUCUGCCGCUGGCGGGUGCUUAGCCGCAGGUUGCCGGAUUGGGCUACAAGUAGCGGAUUGGGCGAUUUUUUUUUUUUAAGUACCCUCGCUACAAAAAUUUCAAAUUGGGCAACAGGCUACUUUUUGGGCUACUUUUAUCUGCGGGAU